CUCAAGAGUCGGCGCGGCAAAAUGGAAUCCGACAUGAAUAUAGAAAUGAAUAAUAUUGGAUUAGCUCCGAUCGCCGCGCUUUGAGGAGGAGAAGAGGCGAGCGAGCAGGGGGUGGGGGCUCUCCUCAAGUGAACCCGGCGAACUGGCGUGAACCCGUCAGUGACCACGGCAAGGUACAUUACAUGACAGGAGCUGCCCGGCCCGCUGCAAAAACAACUAUGGUCGGCGAUGCGGGACGAGGCAGCUCCCCAAAAAAAUAUAGCCAGUGGAUUUCCUACGAGCACGUGAUUGGGAGCGUCAUCCAAAAUCCAGAAGCCCUUUCAUCUCAAAUUUUGGAGAGGGGCGGGGACAGAUGAGCGAGCGUGUGUAACACACGGCGAAAGAAGAAGAAGAAGAAGAGGAGGAGGGAUGUAUAGAUCGCUUCUGUGCAACGUCACCACCCCCGAGGCACACGUGAAAGGAGGCACCGGUACACUUGAAGGCAGAACCUGCAACCGAGAUGAAUGAAAACGGACCCAAUAUCCCAGGAAGGUUUUUUUUUUUUUUUGGUUUUUGUUUUUUCCCCCCCUCCCCAACAAUGGGAUAUUAUUAUGGACUCAGGGCCAGUGUUGCAAAGUCUGCAAGUUGCCCAAUACAUGUAAAAAACUGUGCGGCGACACGCUCCAGCACAUGGCCUCCGAAUCCAGAAUAAUAUGGAUCUGAGGCUCAAACUUCUUUUAUACCGUAUUCCAAAACAAAUAUCUGUUGCCUGGAGACUUGGACAUCUCAAAUCCAUACAUGGACUGGAAUCCUGUUGGUUUGUCCAGGAAUGAGUUCAGAUGCUGCCUGUAGGUGGAAUUCAGGAACAACAGGAUUAUCAAUCCCUAAACCAGUGCAUUGAAACAAAAAUGUGGGUGCGGUGUGAGCGGUGAGCUACGGCAAGCUGCAUUAUAUGGCAGCUACUUUCAUCGGCAGGAUCCUCAACUUCGCGUGCCGGAAAUGAAGUUAGCAAUGGAAAGAUGUGAUCACCGAAUACAUCCUAAUUUAAUGUGAAUUAAAGAGCAUGUGAAGGAAUCCAUUUUGGCGACCCCCAA